AAGUGCCCUGGAACGGGCCGUCAUAGAGGGUGAGAAUCCCGUCUGGGAUGGGGUGCCCGCACCCGUGUGAAGCUCCUUCGACGAGUCGAGUUGUUUGGGAAUGCAGCUCUAAAUGGGUGGUAAAUUUCAUCUAAAGCUAAAUACUGGCCGGAGACCGAUAGCGCACAAGUAGAGUGAUCGAAAGAUGAAAAGCACUUUGAAAAGAGAGUUAAACAGCACGUGAAAUUGUUGAAAGGGAAGCGCUUGCGACCAGACUCGCCUGUAGGGUUCAGCCGGCANUUNUUUGCCGGUGUACUUCCCUGCGGGCGGGCCAGCGUCGGUUUGGGCGGCCGGUCAAAGGCCCUCGGAAUGUAACGCCCCCCGGGGCGUCUUAUAGCCGAGGGUGCCAUGCGGCCAGCCCGGACCGAGGAACGCGCUUCGGCUCGGACGCUGGCAUAAUGGUCGUAAGCGA
rnacentral:rRNA from 1 species